rnacentral:sRNA from 1 species
GCUGGGCACAAUGGCACAUGCCUGUAAUCCUAGCAGCUUGGGAAGCUGAGGCAGGAGGAUCCGGGGUUCAGAGCCAGCCUAGCAAGAACGAGGUGUUAAGCAACUUGGUGAGACCCUGUCUCUA